GGAGGGUGCAAGCGUUAAUCGGAAUUACUGGGCGUAAAGGGCGUGUAGCCGGGAAGGCAAGUCAGAUGUGAAAUCCCCGGGCUCAACCUGGGAACUGCAUCUGAUACUGGCAAGCUUGAGUCUCGUAGAGGGGGGUAGAAUUCCAGGUGUAGCGGUGAAAUGCGUAGAGAUCUGGAGGAAUACCGGUGGCGAAGGCGGCCCCCUGGACGAAGACUGACGCUCAGGUGCGAAAGCGUGGGGAGCAAACAGGAUUAGAUACCCUGGUAGUCCACGCCGUAAACGAUGUCGACUUGGAGGUUGUGCCCUUGAGGCGUGGCUUCCGGAGCUAACGCGUUAAGUCGACCGCCUGGGGAGU
rnacentral:rRNA from 1 species